rnacentral:rRNA from 1 species
CCUACGGGAGGCAGCAGUAGGGAAUCUUGCUCAAUGGGCGAAAGCCUGAAGCAGCGACGCCGCGUGCGGGAUGAAGGCCCUCGGGUUGUAAACCGCUUUCAGCAGGGACGCGGUACCUGCAGAAGAAGGCCCGGCCAACUACGUGCCAGCAGCCGCGGUAAUACGUAGGGGCCUAGCGUUGUCCGGAUUUAUUGGGCGUAAAGAGCUCGUAGGCGGUUUGGUGAGUCGGGUGUGAAAUCUCCACGCUCAACGUGGAGGGGCCACCCGAUACUGCCAGACUAGAGUCCGGUAGGGGAGUGUGGAAUUCCCGGUGUAGCGGUGAAAUGCGCAGAUAUCGGGAGGAACACCAGUAGCGAAGGCGACACUCUGGGCCGGACUGACGCUGAGGAGCGAAAGCGUGGGGAGCAAACAGGAUUAGAUACCCUUGUAGUC